CACGUAGGGGACGAGCGUUGUCCGGAUUCAUUGGGCGUAAAGCGCGCGUAGGCGGCUCGGAAAGUCGGGCGUGAAAUGCCGGGGCUCAACCUGGGAACUGCAUUUGUGACUGCAUCGCUGGAGUGCGGCAGAGGGGGAUGGAAUUCCGCGUGUAGCAGUGAAAUGCGUAGAUAUGCGGAGGAACACCGAUGGCGAAGGCAAUCCCCUGGGCCUGCACUGACGCUCAUGCACGAAAGCGUGGGGAGCAAACAGG
rnacentral:rRNA from 1 species